CCUCCCUCUAGCUAAGAUCAAGUGUAGUGCAUGUUCUUAUCAGCUUAAUUAGUACCUGAUAUGUGGACCCUUAUGUUCGUGAUAUUAAAUUAAAUUUCUCGUGGGGAGGGUUUGCACAUCGACUUGUCACUGGGCUGGCCGGCUGGCCCUUAGCGUAGCCAUUGCGUUGCACUACAGCUUUGGAGGCGCACCACAA